rnacentral:rRNA from 1 species
UACGAAGGGGGGCUAGCGUUGCUCGGAAUCACUGGGCGUAAAGCGCACGUAGGCGGAUUUCUAAGUCAGGGGUGAAAUCCUGGAGCUCAACUCCAGAACUGCCUUUGAUACUGGGAAUCUCGAGUCCGGGAGAGGUGAGUGGAACUGCGAGUGUAGAGGUGAAAUUCGUAGAUAUUCGCAAGAACACCAGUGGCGAAGGCGGCUCACUGGCCCGGUACUGACGCUGAGGUGCGAAAGCGUGGGGAGCGAACAGG